CCUACGGGUGGCAGCAGUGGGGAAUAUUGGGCAAUGGGCGCAAGCCUGACCCAGCAACGCCGCGUGAAGGAAGAAUGCUUUCGGGUUGUAAACUUCUUUUUUCAGGGAGCAAUUGUCGCUACUGUUUACUUUAUCGAGAGUACCUGAUGAAAAAGCAUCGGCUAACUCCGUGCCAGCAGCCGCGGUAAUACGGAGGAUGCGAGCGUUAUCCGGAUUUAUUGGGUUUAAAGGGUGCGUAGGCGGAAUGCCAAGUCAGCGGUAAAAUGGCGGGGCUCAACCUAGCACCGCAGUUGAAACUGGCGUUCUUGAGUAGGAGAGAAGUAUGCGGAAUGCGUGGUGUAGCGGUGAAAUGCAUAGAUAUCACGAAGAACUCCGAUUGCGAAGGCAGCAUGCCGGCGCCCAACUGACGCUGAAGCACGAAAGCGUGGGUAUCGAACAGGAUUAGAUACCCGGGUAGUC
rnacentral:rRNA from 1 species